rnacentral:piRNA from 1 species
UGCUAUGGAAACCAAAGCGUUAGGCCA